AAAAACUCCGGUGGUAUGAGAUGGACCCGCGUCUGAUUAGCUGGUUGGCGGGGUAACGGCCCACCAAGGCGACGAUCAGUAGCCGACCUGAGAGGGUGGCCGGCCACAUUGGGACUGAGACACGGCCCAAACUCCUACGGGAGGCAGCAGUGGGGAAUAUUGCACAAUGGGGGAAACCCUGAUGCAGCAACGCCGCGCGAGUGAAGAAGUAUUUCGGUAUGUAAAGCUCUAUCAGCAGGGAAGAAAAAAGACGGUACCUGACUAAGAAGCCCCGGCUAACUACGUGCCAGCAGCCGCGGUAAUACGUAGGGGGCAAGCGUUAUCCGGAUUUACUGGGUGUAAAGGGAGCGUAGACGGCAUAGCAAGUCUGAAGUGAAAGCCCGUGGCUCAACCGCGGAACUGCUUUGGAAACUGUUAAGCUGGAGUACUGGAGAGGCAAGCGGAAUUCCUAGUGUAGCGGUGAAAUGCGUAGAUAUUAGGAGGAACACCAGUGGCGAAGGCGGCUUGCUGGACAGAGACUGACGUUGAGGCUCGAAAGCGUGGGGAGCAAACAGGAUUAGAUACCCUGGUAGUCCACGCGGUAAACGAUGAAUGCUAGGUGUUGGCGGGCAAAGCCCGU
rnacentral:rRNA from 1 species